rnacentral:lncRNA from 1 species
UGGAAUCUCCGAGCUCAUAAAGCUUAUUCACCUAGUCUUUGGAUUUUUUGGUUUCGUUGAUCUCGGAUGACAAUUCAAAACCCCGGGCGUGGAUCUCGUUGAGGGUCUCUCUUCGGAUAGUCGAUUCGUAUAUUACGCAUUUGCCUUCAGGUGGACUUCAGCUGCCUUCACAUCGACGGGAGGUAGUUGACAACUUGGAC